rnacentral:misc_RNA from 1 species
UCUCCGUUGGUGAACCAGCGGAGGGAUCAUUACCGAGUGCAAACUCAUAACCCUUUGUGAACCUAUAUCUGUUGCUUCGGCGGCUCGCUCUCGGGCGAGCCCGCCGGUAAUAUCAGUAUCUCUGUUUGAACCCGACGAUACUUCUGAGUGUUCUUAGCGAACAGUUAAAACUUUUAACAACGGCUCUCUUGGCUCUAGCAUCGAUGAAAAACGCAGC